UGCAUCGGCCUGGAAUCGAACCCGGGCACGCCCGCGUGGCAGGCGAGCAUUCUACCACUGACCCACCGAUGC
rnacentral:tRNA from 1 species